rnacentral:rRNA from 1 species
CCGCGGGGGAGUGGGGAGAAAGGAAAACAAAGGGGGAUGCACACCGCUCGGCCAUUCGAUGGGGGGAACAAAAUCAAUCAGGUGCGAGCACCAUCAAUCAAUUGGGCAACGCGUUCGACUUGCAUGUAUUAGGCACACCGCCGGCGUUCAUCCUGAGCCAUGAUCAAACUCAAAA